rnacentral:rRNA from 1 species
UACGUAGGGGGCGAGCGUUGUCCGGAUUUAUUGGGCGUAAAGAGCUCGUAGGCGGCUCGGCAAGUCGGGUGUGAAACCUCCAGGCUCAACCUGGAGACGCCACUCGAUACUGCCAUGGCUAGAGUCCGGUAGGGGACCACGGAAUUCCUGGUGUAGCGGUGAAAUGCGCAGAUAUCAGGAGGAACACCGGUGGCGAAGGCGGAUCUCUGGGCCAUUACUGACGCUGAGGAGCGAAAGCGUGGGGAGCGAACAGG